rnacentral:rRNA from 1 species
UAGUUUACCCGUACUGAAACAUUAGUGGUUUAAAUAAAACUCAAUACAUUCUCAUAAAACGGGAAUCACCGCUGGAAUUAUUUAUUUAUAUUUGUAUCAUGAAUUAAACACCUCCUCUCCGUUAGCACGAGGUUAUUAACUGUUCGGUUAGUGGUUAUCAAUGUUACUAAGGUACACAUAUACAGACGGCACGGCAAGAGUAGAGUGGAAGAGAGGCCAUGUUCAGUGAAGGGUCAACGAAGACCGAAACUAGCACGAAGAGUGGAAACUUUUAAGCCAAGAGGAACGAAAUUAACACGGGACGAAGCGGAAGCAGAGCCGACCGAGAAUAUACCGGUAUCCUGGUCGACGUGGACGUAUGACGUACGAGACGAGACGUACCUGUUGGAGCGGCAGGCCGAGGGCACGUGGAACGGCGGCCGUCGGCACUAGGAACGCGCGCGGCAGACUAGCGGGCCCACAGACCUCGACAAAGACGCCGUCGCGGACGCCCAGUGGCGGUCGUGCCCGCUACGGAGGAGUGCGCGGAAGGAAGCUCUUCUCGACGAGGCCGCUGGCCGUUUCUGUCCUCCGUCCUCCCGUCGACGACGCUCCGGGCCCCGUCGCCACCAGCAGCAAGGUGCCCGCGCCCCGCCUCGUCGCCGUGGUCGACGGUUUCGUCUCCGGGUUCUGCGUCGGCCUGGACGAGCGGCCGCACUCCCCGUCCUCGAAGGCGCGGCGCCUGCCGCCGCUCGGCGACCGGCUCGACCGCCAGGCCUCCUGCGGCCCGUUCCACGACCACUUGCACUGGCACGUCUCCUCGGACACCGGCGACGUGCAGUACCGCAGCCGCCUGACCUCGCACCGCCUGGAACACCGGCGGCGGCACCCCUAAAUGCACUUCCUCCCGUCCGCCGGGAACGACGGCCGCUGGCUGGGCAGCUGGAAGCCGGAUGUGAUGAGGGUCAAGUCGAACCUUUCAAACCUGGGCUCCCUCUUCCACUACCUCGAUCCCAGGGCCUCGAAGAAGGACACGGGGUCCAGGAGGAGCCGGCGGCAGGUCUGGAGGAGCAGGAGGACGAGGAGACGGCCUCGUUCGCCACAGUCCUUGCGGCCCCUCCGCGGAUGCAGCCGUCCGCUUGGCGGCCGAACCGACGCGAUGUACGGCAAGACCGGCUGGUACAUCGCUCGAUCGUGUGCAGUAGUAGGUACUACUAGUGACCUGACGGGUGGGAGCCAGGUAAAGAGCUUAACCAAACCGUGCGUCUCGAAGUCUCCUAUUCUGGCAUCGCACGACCACGGACUGUCAUAGAGCAACAAAUCCGCCUUUGCAGUACUAGGUGAGCCGAGCCGGUGCGGUCUAAGUCUGUCAUCCUUUAUAGCCUACGCACUAAUCCUGUCAAGGGCCCUGGCACGGGCCCGUUAAUUCUAACAAUAUAUCUGAUGUCCUUCGUACUACACAUUAAUAACUUAAAACAUGAUAGACUAACACCUACGUUCAUCUCCUCUAACUGGCCGAUACAUACCUACCUAGUGUAUACGUUCAACUGUUCACCCUUCCUUUGAUGC